ensembl:lncRNA
GCAGCUGCACGCUUGACUUUUCUCAGUUCAUGGGCAGUUAUUUUGCGCCUUGGUUUUUCCACACGCUUCUUGCGACCCUGUUGACUAUUUUGAAUGAAACGCUUGAUUGUUCGAUGAUCACGCUUCAGAAGCUUUGCAAUUUUGAGACUGCUGCAUCCCUCUGCAAGAUAUCUCACUAUUUUUGACUUUUCUGAGCCUGUCAAGUCCUUCUUUUGACCCAUUUUGCCAAAGGAAAGGACGUUGCCUAAUAAUUAUGCACACCUGAUAUAGGGUGUUGAUGUCAUUAGACCACACCCCUUCUCAUUACAGAGAUGCACAUCACCUAAUAUGCUUAAUUGGUAGUAGGCUUUCGAGCCUAUACAGCUUGGAGUAAGACAACAUGCAUGAAGAGGAUGAUGUGGACAAAAUACUCAUUUGCCUAAUAAUUCUGCACUCCCUGUAUUUCUAAAUAAUAAUAUUUAGACUCCAGGAUACUAAAGAAACAUGAAGGAUACAUUUUUGUUUUGUGCAUUUCUGCAGUUCAUUCACUUUAAUUCUUGUCUUCAUGUUUGAGUUUUGCAAGCUGGUGCCUUCUGUUGUCUUCUGUUGUUUUAUGAUGUAUUUUAUGUGACUUUUGCAUGUUGGUGGUAUAUAUGCUGUAUAUGUAGGUUAUAUGAAUGUACCUUAAGAUUUAAUAUUUUUGAAAAUAUGUACGUUACUUUUUAUUUAUUUAAUGUUUCUCCUUGUUCACGAUGACAGAGAGAAGUCUAAAUAUAUUCAGCAUUUACUAAUAGUUACCAUGUGCAGUUUUAAUUUCUACUGCUUCCUCCUGAAGUGCCAAAAGUUCAGUGUCCCAAAUUUAUAUUUGUCUGCCUCUGUCUGUCUUUUUUGUCAUGAAGUUGUGUUGAUGCUGUUGCACUUUAUUGUUCUGUGAAUGAAUGUAAAGAAAGUUGGUGUUGAAUGAGACCAAUGUUGCUGUCUGAUGUGAAAUCUGGUUAAGAGUGGGACAAAUGUGUAGCUGUUUUUCUGUUUCAAAAUGGAAGUAAAAACCCUGUAAAAAUAA